AUUCAUUUUCUUGGUUCUUAAUGUGUAGUAUAAGUCAUUUGAAAAGCUUCAUUUGUAAUCUUUGCAAAUUUUCCAUAUCCUAGCAACUUACAAAAAUAAAGAUUAUGUAAAGUCUGAUUGAUAAUUGUUUGGUUCAGUGGUAGGAUUAUCUCAAGAUCCCUACUUGUACAGAAUGAUUAGUUUUGCUUCUUCACAUUUUGAAGUUUAGGUAGUAAGAUUACACAUAAUUAUCUGUUUCUGUGGAUUUGCUUCUUUGUAAGAAAAUUACUCUGUAUUUGAGUGAAAUUCAUUCUGUUGCUCUCUUACCACUUCUGCAAAUUUUUAUCUUAGCCACAUAUAAUCCCCCUAGUUUGUUGUCAUCUAAACUUAAUGAACAUGUUCUCUAUUCCAUAAGCCAGGUGAUUGGUGAAAACACUAAACAACCCUGAGCCCAGGGCCAACCCCUACGGAACACCACUACUUUACCCAGGCGCCACAGGUCAUCUUCUGGAUCAUCCCAUUCUGGUUCCCGUUCAAGUUCAAAAAAGAAAUAAUGUAUUAAAAUUUACAUCAAAAAAAAAUCAGUACAGUGCAUGAAGCAUAUUUUUAAAGAAGUUGGUGUCUUACUUGGUCAGAAGUGCUAAAUCUGCUAGUAGAGGUGCAUGCCUUCAUUGCUUCUCAGAACAAUACACCUGUGUUUAUUUGUGAAGUUAAAAGUAAAUAGCAUUUUAAGCCAUAAUGUC